GAUAAACGCUAGCGGCAGGCUUAACACAUGCAAGUCGAGGGGCAGCAUAGAUUGUAGCAAUACAAUUGGUGGCGACCGGCGCACGGGUGCGUAACGCGUAUGCAACCUACCCGUCACAGGGGGAUAAUCCGGAGAAAUCUGGUCUAAUACCCCAUAACAUAUGGAUCGGCAUCGGUUCAUGUUGAAAUUUUCGGAGGUGACGGAUGGGCAUGCGUAGCAUUAGCUUGUUGGUGAGGUAACGGCUAACCAAGGCGACGAUGCUUAGGGGGACUGAGAGGUUUUCCCCCCACACUGGUACAGAGACACGGACCAGACUCCUACGGGAGGCAGCAGUGAGGAAUAUUGGUCAAUGGGCGCAAGCCUGAACCAGCCAUGCCGCGUGCAGGAUGACGGCUCUAUGAGUUGUAAACUGCUUUUGUACGAGGGUAAAGUGGGUUACGUGUAACCUUUUGAAAGUAUCGUACGAAUAAGGAUCGGCUAACUCCGUGCCAGCCGCCGCAGUAA
rnacentral:rRNA from 1 species